AUUGAACGCUGGCGGCAGGCCUAACACAUGCAAGUCGAGCGGAUGAAGGGAGCUUGCUCCUGGAUUCAGCGGCGGACGGGUGAGUAAUGCCUAGGAAUCUGCCUGGUAGUGGGGGAUAACGUCCGGAAACGGGCGCUAAUACCGCAUACGUCCUGAGGGAGAAAGUGGGGGAUCUUCGGACCUCACGCUAUCAGAUGAGCCUAGGUCGGAUUAGCUAGUUGGUGGGGGUAAGGGCCUACCAAGGCGACGAUCCGUAACUGGUCUGAGAGGAUGAUCAGUCACACUGGAACUGAGACACGGUCCAGACUCCUACGGGAGGCAGCAGUGGGGAAUAUUGGACAAUGGGCGAAAGCCUGAUCCAGCCAUGCCGCGUGUGUGAAGAAGGUCUUCGGAUUGUAAAGCACUUUAAGUUGGGAGGAAGGGCAGUAAGUUAAUACCUUGCUGUUUUGACGUUACCAACAGAAUAAGCACCGGCUAACUUCGU
rnacentral:rRNA from 1 species